rnacentral:rRNA from 1 species
GACGGGUGGAGUAAUGUCUGGGAAACUGCCUGAUGGAGGGGGAUAACUACUGGAAACGGUAGCUAAUACCGCAUAACGUCGCAAGACCAAAGAGGGGGACCUUCGGGCCUCUUGCCAUCGGAUGUGCCCAGAUGGGAUUAGCUAGUAGGUGGGUAACGGCUCACCUAGGCGACGAUCCCUAGCUGGUCUGAGAGGAUGACCAGCCACACUGGAACUGAGACACGGUCCAGACUCCUACGGGAGGCAGCAUG